rnacentral:misc_RNA from 1 species
GAUGAAGAACGCAGCGAAAUGCGAUAAGUAAUGUGAAUUGCAGAAUUCAGUGAAUCAUCGAAUCUUUGAACGCACAUUGCGCCCGCCAGCAUUCUGGCGGGCAUGCCUGUUCGAGCGUCAUUUCAACCCUCGAGCCCCCCCGGGGGCCUCGGUGUUGGGGGACGGCACACCAGCCGCCCCCGAAAUGCAGUGGCGACCUCGCCGCAGCCUCCCCUGCGUAGUAGCACACACCUCGCACCGGAGCGCGGAGACGGUCACGCCGUAAAACGCCCAACUUCUUAGAGUUGACCUCGGAUCAGGUAGGAAUACCCGCUGAACUUAAGCAUAUCAAUAAGCGGAGG